rnacentral:rRNA from 1 species
AGAGUUUGAUCCUGGCUCAGAACGAACGCUGGCGGCAGGCCUAACACAUGCAAGUCGAGCGGCACCUUCGGGUGUAGCGGCGGACGGGUUAGUAACGCGUGGGAACGUGCCCUUCUCUACGGAAUAGCCUCGGGAAACUGAGAGUAAUACCGUAUACGCCCUUCGGGGGAAAGAUUUAUCGGAGAAGGAUCGGCCCGCGUCUGAUUAGAUAGUUGGUGGGGUAAUGGCCUACCAAGUCUACGAUCAGUAGCUGGUUUUAGAGGAUGAUCAGCAACACUGGGACUGAGACACGGCCCAGACUCCUACGGGAGGCAGCAGUGGGGAAUCUUAGACAAUGGGCGCAAGCCUGAUCUAGCCAUGCCGCGUGAGUGAUGAAGGCCUUAGGGUCGUAAAGCUCUUUCGCCAGAGAUGAUAAUGACAGUAUCUGGUAAAGAAACCCCGGCUAACUCCGUGCCAGCAGCCGCGGUAAUACGGAGGGGGUUAGCGUUGUUCGGAAUUACUGGGCGUAAAGCGCACGUAGGCGGAUCAGAAAGUUGGGGGUGAAAUCCCAGGGCUCAACCCUGGAACGGCCUCCAAAACUCCUGGUCUUGAGUUCGAGAGAGGUGAGUGGAAUUCCGAGUGUAGAGGUGAAAUUCGUAGAUAUUCGGAGGAACACCAGUGGCGAAGGCGGCUCACUGGCUCGAUACUGACGCUGAG